CAAUAGCGUAUAUUAAAGUUGUUGCGGUUAAAAAGCUCGUAGUUGGAUUUCUGCUGAGAACGACCGGUCCGCCCUUUGGGUGUGUAUCUGGCUCUUUCUUGGCAUCUUCUUGGUGAACGUUGCUGCACUUGACUGUGUGGAGCGCUACCCAGGACUUUUACUUUGAGGAAAUUAGAGUGUUUCAAGCAGGCAUACGCCUUGAAUACAUUAGCAUGGAAUAAUAAGAUAGGACCUCGGUUCUAUUUUGUUGGUUUCUAGAGCUGAGGUAAUGAUUAAUAGGGAUAGUUGGGGGCAUUCGUAUUUAACUAUCAGAGGUGAAAUUCUUGGAUUUGUUAAAGACGGACUACUGCGAAANCANNNGCCAAGGAUGUUUUCAUNGA
rnacentral:rRNA from 1 species